CAUAUCAAUAAGCGGAGGAAAAGAAACCAACAGGCGAGUGAAGCGGCAAAAGCUCAAAUUUGAAAUCUGGCGUCUUCGGCGUCCGAGUUGUAAUUUGAAGAAGGCUACUUUGGGGCUGGAGUUUGUCUAAGUUCCUUGGAACAGGACGUCACAGAGGGUGAGAAUCCCGUGAGAUAAGCUUCCCAGUUCUAUGUAAAGUGCUUUCGAAGAGUCGAGUUGUUUGGGAAUGCAGCUCUAAGUGGGUGGUAAAUUCCAUCUAAAGCUAAAUAUUGGCGAGAGACCGAUAGCGAACAAGUACAGUGAUGGAAAGAUGAAAAGAACUUUGAAAAGAGAGUGAAAAAGUACGUGAAAUUGUUGAAAGGGAAGGGCUUGAGAUCAGACAUGGUAUUUUGCAAACCUUCUCUCUCGUGGAGGGGGCCCCUUGCAGUUUACUGGGCCAGCAUCAGUUUGGGCGGUAGGAUAAUGACUAAGGAAUGUGACUUGCCUUCGGGGAAGUGUUAUAGCCUUGGUUGAUACUGCCAGCGAUGUUGGCAUAAUGAUCUUAAGCCACCCGU
rnacentral:rRNA from 1 species